UUUUUUUUUAAUCAGUAAUUAAGAAUCCUAUUGUUAAAUGGAUUCUAUUAAUUAGAUAAGUUUUAAUUAAGAAUUCUUUUUUAUAAAGAACAUUAGUU